rnacentral:rRNA from 1 species
UACGUAGGGUCCGAGCGUUGUCCGGAAUUAUUGGGCGUAAAGGGCUCGUAGGCGGUUUGUCGCGUCGGGAGUGAAAACACGGGGCUUAACCCCGUGCCUGCUUCCGAUACGGGCAGACUAGAGGUAUGCAGGGGAGAACGGAAUUCCUGGUGUAGCGGUGAAAUGCGUAGAUAUCAGGAGGAACACCGGUGGCGAAGGCGGCUUUCUGGACAGUAACUGACGCUGAGGCGCGAAAGCUAGGGGAGCAAACAGG